rnacentral:misc_RNA from 1 species
AUAUAUAUAUGUAUGUAUAUAUAUCAGACAAGUUAUCCUUUUCUGUGCUUAUGAUUGUUAAUGUCUUUACAAGCUGAACUAAGUACUUUGCUUAGAAAUUAUGUAAGUGGAUCUCUCGUUGAGGGCUAUGAUAUGUGUUGUACUACCAAAGUUCUUUAAGAUUGCAUAAAAAACUAGUCAAGCUGAUAUCUGUGUAGAUAUAUGCACACUAAGCGAACCAAUCUUCUUGGUAACAGCUUUUGUUUUGCAUAUUAAAAUGUUUGAUGUAACAUGUUCAUGAAGCAAAUGAGAUGGACUAGAGCUGGAUUUUUCGGGUUAACAUUAGAGGUCAAAA